AGAUUAAGUUAUUAAGGGCGCACGGUGGAUGCCUUGGCACUAGAAGCCGAUGAAGGACGUUACUAACGACGAUAUGCUUUGGGGAGCUGUAAGUAAGCUUUGAUCCAGAGAUUUCCGAAUGGGGAAACCCAGCAUGAGUUAUGUCAUGUUAUCGAUAUGUGAAUACAUAGCAUAUCAGAAGGCACACCCGGAGAACUGAAACAUCUUAGUACCCGGAGGAAGAGAAAGAAAAUUCGAUUCCCUUAGUAGCGGCGAGCGAAACGGGAAGAGCCCAAACCAACAAGCUUGCUUGUUGGGGUUGUAGGACACUCUAUACGGAGUUACAAAGGACGACAUUAGACGAAUCAUCUGGAAAGAUGAAUCAAAGAAGGUAAUAAUCCUGUAGUCGAAAAUGUUGUCUCUCUUGAGUGGAUCCUGAGUACGACGGAGCACGUGAAAUUCCGUCGGAAUCUGGGAGGACCAUCUCCUAAGGCUAAAUACUCUCUAGUGACCGAUAGUGAACCAGUACCGUGAGGGAAAGGUGAAAAGCACCCCGGAAGGGGAGUGAAAUAGAACCUGAAACCGUGUGCUUACAAGUAGUCAGAGCCCGUUAAUGGGUGAUGGCGUGCCUUUUGUAGAAUGAACCGGCGAGUUACGAUUUGAUGCAAGGUUAAGCAGUAAAUGUGGAGCCGUAGCGAAAGCGAGUCUGAAUAGGGCGUUUAGUAUUUGGUCGUAGACCCGAAACCAGGUGAUCUACCCUUGGUCAGGUUGAAGUUCAGGUAACACUGAAUGGAGGACCGAACCGACUUACGUUGAAAAGUGAGCGGAUGAACUGAGGGUAGCGGAGAAAUUCCAAUCGAACCUGGAGAUAGCUGGUUCUCUCCGAAAUAGCUUUAGGGCUAGCCUCAAGUGAUGAUUAUUGGAGGUAGAGCACUGUUUGGACGAGGGGCCCCUCUCGGGUUACCGAAUUCAGACAAACUCCGAAUGCCAAUUAAUUUAACUUGGGAGUCAGAACAUGGGUGAUAAGGUCCGUGUUCGAAAGGGAAACAGCCCAGACCACCAGCUAAGGUCCCAAAAUAUAUGUUAAGUGGAAAAGGAUGUGGCGUUGCCCAGACAACUAGGAUGUUGGCUUAGAAGCAGCCAUCAUUUAAAGAGUGCGUAAUAGCUCACUAGUCGAGUGACACUGCGCCGAAAAUGUACCGGGGCUAAACAUAUUACCGAAGCUGUGGAUUGUCCUUUGGACAAUGGUAGGAGAGCGUUCUAAGGGCGUUGAAGCAUGAUCGUAAGGACAUGUGGAGCGCUUAGAAGUGAGAAUGCCGGUGUGAGUAGCGAAAGACGGGUGAGAAUCCCGUCCACCGAUUGACUAAGGUUUCCAGAGGAAGGCUCGUCCGCUCUGGGUUAGUCGGGUCCUAAGCUGAGGCCGACAGGCGUAGGCGAUGGAUAACAGGUUGAUAUUCCUGUACCACCUAUAAUCGUUUUAAUCGAUGGGGGGACGCAGUAGGAUAGGCGAAGCGUGCGAUUGGAUUGCACGUCUAAGCAGUAAGGCUGAGUAUUAGGCAAAUCCGGUACUCAUUAAGGCUGAGCUGUGAUGGGGAGAAGACAUUGUGUCUUCGAGUCGUUGAUUUCACACUGCCGAGAAAAGCCUCUAGAUAGAAAAUAGGUGCCCGUACCGCAAACCGACACAGGUAGUCAAGAUGAGAAUUCUAAGGUGAGCGAGCGAACUCUCGUUAAGGAACUCGGCAAAAUGACCCCGUAACUUCGGGAGAAGGGGUGCUCUUUAGGGUUAACGCCCAGAAGAGCCGCAGUGAAUAGGCCCAAGCGACUGUUUAUCAAAAACACAGGUCUCUGCUAAACCGUAAGGUGAUGUAUAGGGGCUGACGCCUGCCCGGUGCUGGAAGGUUAAGAGGAGUGGUUAGCUUCUGCGAAGCUACGAAUCGAAGCCCCAGUAAACGGCGGCCGUAACUAUAACGGUCCUAAGGUAGCGAAAUUCCUUGUCGGGUAAGUUCCGACCCG
rnacentral:rRNA from 1 species